rnacentral:lncRNA from 10 species
AUUGCCAAAAGCGGACGUCAAUAGAUGUAAUGCAAAAAUAGUGUCUUGUGUUCAAAAAAGGUUGGGAAAUACUGAGUGAAAGAAUAGUGCACAAACCAUAGGCACACAGCUCAAGGAAUUAUCAGGAAUUGAACAUGUCCACGUGUGCCCAACCCAGCUCUCCAGCACACCUUCCCAGCCUCAACCCAUCAUCUGGAUUCUGAGGUUCUUGGCUCCAGUGAGGACGUUAUUGCUGAGAAUUAGAUGCUGAAGUUGGCACCAUCAAAUAACUAGUCCUGGAUGCAUGUCACUAGUAGCAGCCAUCUCACUGCCUCAGGAACUCAAGUUUACCAUGGUCACCAUGGCCUUGGAGAAUACUCACCUCAUCCUUUUUGUGCAUCACUCGCUCUCAAUUCUAAAAAAGGAGAGAACAUCUGAUUGGCAAAGCCUAGGUGAUACAAAUAUCUGGAAUUCUCAUCUUUUGUAAUGGGAAGUAACUCUGCUUGCUGUUAAGAUUCACAGAGUAAAUAAUCACCAGCUCCUGGAGGGGCUCGUGGGUAGGUAUGGAGAGAGAUGAGCAAUGGUCUACACAGAUGACAGAACAUAUCCACAUCCCUAAGCAGCUUUGGAGUAAACCAGAGUAAAAGCAACCAAAACAGAGUCCAAGUCAGGGUCCUUCCAUCCUCAAACCAGGCUCCAGUGG